GAUGAACGCUAGCGGCAGGCCUAAUACAUGCAAGUCAAGGGGCCCCGAGCAAUCGGGGCACCGGCGGACGGGUGCGUAACGCGUACACAACGUGCCCAAGGGCGGGGGAAAGCGGCGGGAAACUGCCGGUAAUACCCCAUGGUGUUGGAGGGUGGCAUCACUUUUCAACUAAAGUACAAGCGCCCUUGGAUCGGUGUGCGUCCGAUUAGCUAGUUGGCGGGGUAACGGCCCACCAAGGCUCCGAUCGGUAGGGGGGUGAGAGCAU
rnacentral:rRNA from 1 species